GCCUUAAUGCAGCUGCCGCAAGGCAACGGUCGCAAGCCCGUGCAAAUGCAGAGCGGGGA
rnacentral:ribozyme from 2 species